AGUAGGGAUACCCGCUGAACUUAAGCAUAUCAUAA
rnacentral:rRNA from 1 species